UACGUAGGGUGCAAGCGUUGUCCGGAAUUAUUGGGCGUAAAGAGCUCGUAGGCGGUCUGUCGCGUCGGCUGUGAAAUCCCGAGGCUCAACCUCGGGUCUGCAGUCGAUACGGGCAAACUAGAGUAUUGCAGGGGAGACUGGAAUUCCUGGUGUAGCGGUGAAAUGCGCAGAUAUCAGGAGGAACACCGGUGGCGAAGGCGGGGUCUCUGGGCAAUAACUGACGCUGAGGAGCGAAAGCGUGGGGAGCGAACAGG
rnacentral:rRNA from 1 species